UACGUAGGUGGCAAGCGUUGUCCGGAAUUAUUGGGCGUAAAGCGCGCGCAGGCGGUCCUUUAAGUCUGAUGUGAAAGCCCACGGCUCAACCGUGGAGGGUCAUUGGAAACUGGGGGACUUGAGUGCAGGAGAGAAGAGUGGAAUUCCACGUGUAGCGGUGAAAUGCGUAGAGAUGUGGAGGAACACCAGUGGCGAAGGCGGAUCUCUGGACAGUUACUGACACUGAGGCACGAAGCCAGGGGAGCAAACGGG
rnacentral:rRNA from 1 species